GUCGAACGCUGGCGGCGUGCCUAAUACAUGCAAGUCGAACGCAGUGGGGACGGGUGAGUAACACGUGGGUAACCUCCCAUCAGAGGGGAUAACACUUAGAUACAGGUGCUAACCCGAUACGGAUGGAUGGACUCGCGGUGCAUUAGCUAGUUGGUGAGGUAACGGCUCACCAAGGCCACGAUGCAUAGCCGACCUGAGAGGGUGAUCGGCCACACUGGGACUGAGACACGGCCCAGACUCCUACGGGAGGCAGCAGUAGGGAAUCUUCGGCAAUGGACGAAAGUCUGACCGAGCAACGCCGCGUGAGUGAAGAAGGUUUUCGGAUCGUAAAACUCUGUUGUUAGAGAAGCGGUAUCUAACCAGAAAGCCACGGCUAACUACGUGCCAGCAGCCGCGGUAAUAC
rnacentral:rRNA from 1 species